rnacentral:rRNA from 1 species
UUCAAUAACCUAUUAAACAAUCAACCAACUAAUACCAAAAACUUCCAACAACGGAUCUCUUGGUUCUCGCAUCGAUGAAGAACGCAGCGAAAUGCGAUACGUAAUAUGAAUUGCAGAUUUUGUGAAUCAUCGAAUCUUUGAACGCACAUUGCGCCCGUGGGUAUUCCCGCGGGCAUGCGUGUGUGAGCGGUUAUCUCCCUCGCAGGUAAUGGACAUACGGCGUCAGCUGUUCCUCCAAAAAGUGAUUGGUGUAGUAUUACAGUUUACUCACAACCAUACUUUUUCCCUCACACACGUAAGACUACCCGCUGAACUUAAGCAUAUCAAUAA